rnacentral:snoRNA from 1 species
UAUCCCUGACCUGGGUAGAGUGGCAGUUGGCUGGUGGUACCCAUCUCAUAUCAGCCAGGGACAAAGCUUACCCAGCCUGGGUUUGGGUCAGUGCUUAUGCCUGGUUCAUGCCGUGGAUCCAUGG